GGGCGCGGCCGAAGGUGGGUUCGAUAAUUGGGGUGAAGUCGUAACAAGGUAGCCGUAUCGGAAGGUGCGGCUGGAUCACCUCCUUUCUAAGGAGA
rnacentral:rRNA from 1 species